rnacentral:rRNA from 1 species
CCCUUAGAAGUUCUGGGCUGCACGCGCGCGACACUGAUGCGCUCAAGGAGUUUACGACCUUGCCUGGAAAGGUUGGGUAAUCUUCUUAAAAAACAUCGUGAUGGAGCUAGAUUAUUGCAACUAUUAAUCUUCAACGAGGAAUUCCUAGUAAGCGCGAGUCAUCAGCUCGUGCUGAUUACGUCCCUGCCCUUUGUACACACCGCCCGUCGCUCCUACCGAUUGCGUGCUACUGAAUAAUUCGGACUGCAGCAACGUUCGGUUCCUGAAUGUCGCAGUGGAAAGUUUAGUGAACCUUAUCACUUAGAGGAAGGAGAAGUCGUAACA